rnacentral:rRNA from 1 species
AUUGAACGCUGGCGGCAGGCCUAACACAUGCAAGUCGAGCGGAUGAAGGGAGCUUUCCUCUGGAUUCAGCGGCGGCCGGGUGGGUAAUGCCUCGGAAUCUGCCUGGCUGUGGGGGAUAAAGUACGGCAACGGGCCCUAAUUCCGCAUACGUCCCGCGGUCGCUAGUGGGGGGUAAUCGUACCUCAUGCUAUCAGAUUAGCCUAGGUCGGAUUAGCUAGUUGGUGGGGUAAAGGCCUACCAAGGCGACGAUCCGUAACUGAUCUGAGAGGAUGAUCAGUCACACUGGAACUGAGACACGGUCCAGACUCCUACGGGAGGCAGCAGUGGGGAAUAUUGGGCAAUGGGCGAAAGCCUGAUCCAGCCAUGCCGCGUGAGUGAAGAAGGUCUUCGGAUUGUAAAGCACUGUAGGUUGGGAAGAAGAACAGUAAGUGUAUACCUUGCUGUUUUGACGUUACCAACAGAAAAAGCACCGGCUAACUACGUG